UACGUAGGAUGCUAGCGUUGUCCGGAUUUACUGGGUGUAAAGGGAGCGCAGGCGGGAUGAUAAGUCGGUGGUGAAAUUCUUAGGCUUAACCUGAGAACUGCCAUCGAUACUGUUAUUCUUGAGUGCAGAAGAGGUUGAUGGAAUUCUAGGUGUAGCGGUGAAAUGCGUAGAUAUCUAGAAGAACACCGAUGGCGAAGGCAGUCAACUGGUCUGCUACUGACGCUCAUGCUCGAAAGCGUGGGGAUCAAACAGG
rnacentral:rRNA from 1 species